rnacentral:rRNA from 1 species
GAUGAACGCUGGCGGCGUGCCUAAUACAUGCAAGUCGAGCGAACGGACGAGAAGCUUGCUUUUCUGAUGUUAGCGGCGGACGGGUGAGUAACACGUGGAUAACCUACCUAUAAGACUGGGAUAACUUCGGGAAACCGGAGCUAAUACCGGAUAAUAUUUUGAACCGCAUGGUUCAAAAGUGAAAGACGGUCUUGCUGUCACUUAUAGAUGGAUCCGCGCUGCAUUAGCUAGUUGGUAAGGUAACGGCUUACCAAGGCAACGAUGCAUAGCCGACCUGAGAGGGUGAUCGGCCACACUGGAACUGAGGCACGGUCCAGACUCCUACGGGAGGCAGCAGUAGGGAAUCUUCCGCAAUGGGCGAAAGCCUGACGGAGCAACGCCGCGUGAGUGAUGAAGGUCUUCGGAUCGUAAAACUCGGUUAUUAGGGAAGAACAUAUGUGUAAGUAACUGUGCACAUCUUGACGGUACCUAAUCAGAAAGCCACGGCUAACUACGUG